rnacentral:rRNA from 1 species
GACGAACGCUGGCGGCGUGCUUAACACAUGCAAGUCGAACGAAGAGCGAUGGAAGCUUGCUUCUAUCAAUCUUAGUGGCGCACGGGUGAGUAACGCGUAAUCAACCUGCCCUUCAGAGGGGGACAACAGUUGGAAACGACUGCUAAUACCGCAUACGAUCUAAACUCGGCAUCGAGGAUAGAUGAAAGGUGGCCUCUACAUGUAAGCUAUCACUGAAGGAGGGGAUUGCGUCUGAUUAGCUAGUUGGAGGGGUAACGGCCCACCAAGGCGAUGAUCAGUAGCCGGUCUGAGAGGAUGAACGGCCACAUUGGGACUGAGACACGGCCCAGACUCCUACGGGAGGCAGCAGUGGGGAAUCUUCCGCAAUGGACGAAAGUCUGACGGAGCAACGCCGCGUGAGUGAUGACGGCCUUCGGGUUGUAAAGCUCUGUUAAUCGGGACGAAAGGCCUUCUUGCGAAUAGUGAGAAGGAUUGACGGUACCGGAAUAGAAAGCCACGGCUAACUACGU